UACGUAGGGGGCAAGCGUUAUCCGGAUUUACUGGGUGUAAAGGGAGCGUAGACGGCGAGACAAGUCUGAAGUGAAAGCCCGGGGCUCAACCCCGGGACUGCUUUGGAAACUGCCUUGCUAGAGUGCUGGAGAGGUAAGUGGAAUUCCUAGUGUAGCGGUGAAAUGCGUAGAUAUUAGGAGGAACACCAGUGGCGAAGGCGGCUUACUGGACAGUAACUGACGUUGAGGCUCGAAAGCGUGGGGAGCAAACAGG
rnacentral:rRNA from 3 species